GCCCCAUUCAGUAUGGUGGUUAUGACACUCGGCUUGUAACCGAGUGGGUUAAGGUUCGAAUCCCGAAAGAGGCA